GAUGAACGCUGGCGGCGUGCCUAAUACAUGCAAGUCGAGCGAACGGACGAGAAGCUUGCUUCUUUGAUGUUAGCGGCGGACGGGUGAGUAACACGUGGAUAACCUACCUAUAAGACUGGGAUAAUUUCGGGAAACCGGCGCUAAUACCGGAUAAUCUUUUGAACCGCAUGGUUCAAAAGUGAAAGACGGUCUUGCUGUCACUUAUAGAUGGAUCCGCGCUGCAUUAGCUAGUUGGUAAGGUCACGGCUUACCAAGGCAACGAUGCAUAGCCGACCUGUGAGGGGGAUCGGCCACACUGGAACUUGGACACGGUCCAGACGCCUACGGGAGGCAGCAGUAGGGAAUCUUCCGCAAUGGUCGAAAGCCUGACGGAGCGGCGCCGCGUGAGUGAUGAAGGUCUUCGGAUCGUAAAACUCUGUUAUUAGGGAAGAACAUAUGUGUAAGUAACUGUGCACAUCUUGACGGUACCUAAUCAAAAAGCCACGGCUAACUACGUG
rnacentral:rRNA from 1 species